GACGAACGCUGGCGGCGUGCCUAAUACAUGCAAGUAGAACGCAGUGGGUACGGGUGAGUAACACGUGGGUAACCUCCCAUCAGAGGGGAUAACACUUGGAAACAGGUGCUAAACCGAUACUGAUGGAUGGACCCGCGGUGCAUUAGCGAGUUGGUGAGGUAACGGCUAACCAAGGCCCCGAUGCAGCGCCGACGUGUGAGUGUGUUCGGCCACACUGUGACUGAGACACGGCCCAGACUCCUACGGGAGGCAGCAGUAGGGAAUCUUCGGCAAUGGACGAAAGUCUGACCGAGCAACUCCGCGUGAGUGAAGAAGGUUUUCGGAUCGUAAACCUCUGUUGUUAGAGAAGCGGUAUCUAACCAGAAAGCCACGGCUAACUACGUGCCAGCAGCCGCGUAAUAC
rnacentral:rRNA from 1 species